rnacentral:lncRNA from 1 species
UGAAAAGAGUGAUAAAGAAGAUUUUAUCCUACUUAAGUUAUUAGCCUCAUUAUGGAUUAAAUUUUGGACUAAUCAACUAAUUCAAACAGCCAAACAUGCACAAGAUUAGAUUAAAUUUUUAUUUCGUCCCAAAAAUUAGUCCAAUCCUAUCUUUAAUUUAGUUUAGUACAAUGCUAUAGUAUAUCAAACACAAGAUAAAACCAAAUCUAAUAUAAUCUAAUCUUAUCAUAUCCUUCCAAAUACAACAUAAUUUUACAUAUUAUCCAAUCAUAACUUAUGUUAUUCGAUCUUAUCCUAUCUUACGUGCCAAACACUUCCUACUUGUUACGUGUGGCUAUUAUGUUGCCACUUUGAUGAAACAGACGUCAACAUGACAAUAUCCCAUCACGUAAAUCUUAAAAUUGUAGGCUAACAUCUUAAGAAGA